rnacentral:rRNA from 1 species
UAGGGAAUAUUGGGCAAUGGAUGCAAGUCUGACCCAGCCAUGCCGCGUGCCGGAUGAAGGCCCUCAGGGUUGUAAACGGCUUUUAUUCGGGAAGAAGAGCGGGGAUGCGUCCCUGUGUGACGGUACCGAAUGAAUAAGCACCGGCUAACUCCGUGCCAGCAGCCGCGGUAAUACGGAGGGUGCGAGCGUUGUCCGGAUUUAUUGGGUUUAAAGGGUGCGUAGGUGGCUUAAUAAGUCAGUGGUGAAAUACAUCCGCUCAACGGAUGAGGUGCCAUUGAUACUGUUAAGCUUGAAACAAGUGGAGGCUGCCGGAAUGGAUGGUGUAGCGGUGAAAUGCAUAGAUAUCAUCCAGAACACCGAUUGCGAAGGCAGGUGGCUACGUUUGAUUUGACACUGAGGCACGAAAGCAUGGGGAGCAAACA